GGUUGCAUAGCUCAGUUGGAUAGAGCGUUGGUCUACGAAACCAAAGGUCGAACGUUCGAGUCGUUCUGCGACCACCA
rnacentral:tRNA from 1 species